rnacentral:rRNA from 1 species
GAUGAACGCUGGCGGCGUGCCUAAUACAUGCAAGUCGUGCGGCGGCGAGCCCUUCGGGGUGUCGGCGAGCGGCGGACGGCUGAGUAACACGUAGGAACAUACCCCAAAGUGAGGGAUAACUGCUCGAAAGAGUAGCUAAUACCGCAUGUGGUCUAAGGAUUAAAGCUUCGGCGCUUUGGGAAUGGCCUGCGUUCGAUUAGCUAGAUGGUGAGGUAAAGGCUCACCAUGGCGACGAUCGAUAGCUGGUCUGAGAGGAUGAUCAGCCAGACUGGGACUGAGACACGGCCCAGACUCCUACGGGAGGCAGCAGUAGGGAAUUUUCCACAAUGGGCGAAAGCCUGAUGGAGCAACGCCGCGUGCAGGAUGAAUGCCUUAGGGUUGUAAACUGCUUUUAUAUGUGACGAUUAUGACGGUAGCAUAUGAAUAAGGAUCGGCUAACUCCGUGCCAGCAGCCGCCGUAA